UGGGGAAUUUUGCACAAUGGGCGCAAGCCUGAUGCAGCGACGCCGCGUGAGGGAUGAAGGCCUUCGGGUUGUAAACCUUUUUCGCUCAUGGUCAAGCCGCAGCUUUGGGUUGUGGUGAGGGUAGUGGGUAAAGAAGCGCCGGCUAACUACGUGCCAGCAGCCGCGGUAAUACGUAGGGCGCGAGCGUUGUCCGGAAUUAUUGGGCGUAAAGGGCUUGUAGGCGGUUGGCCGCGUCUGCCGUGAAAUCCUCUGGCUUAACUGGGGGCGUGCGGUGGGUACGGGUUGACUUGAGUGCGGUAGAGGAGACUGGAAUUCCUGGUGUAGCGGUGGAAGGCGCAGAUAUCGGGGGGAACACCGGUGGCGAAGGCGGGUCUCUGGGCUGUUACUGACGCUGAGGAGCGAAAGCGUGGGGAGCGAACAGG
rnacentral:rRNA from 1 species